GACGAACGCUGGCGGCGUGCUUACCACAUGCAAGUCGAACGGAAAGGCCCUGCUUUUGUGGGGUGCUCGAGUGGCGAACGGGUGAGUACCCCGUGAGUAACCUGCCCUUGACUUUGGGAUAACUUCAGGAAACUGGGGCUAAUACCGGAUAGGAGCUCCUGCUGCAUGGUGGGGGUUGGAAAGUUUCGGCGGUUGGGGAUGGACUCGCGCCUUAUCAGCUUGUUGGUGGGGUAGUGGCUUACCAAGGCUUUGACGGGUAGCCGGCCUGAGAGGGUGACCGGCCACAUUGGGACUGAGAUACGGCCCAGACUCCUACGGGAGGCAGCAGUGGGGAAUAUUGCACAAGGGGCGGAAGCCUGAUGCAGCAACGCCGCGUGCGGGAUGACGGCCUUCGGGUUGUAAACCGCUUUCGCCUGUGACGAAGCGUGAGUGACGGUAAUGGGUAAAGAAGCACCGGCUAACUACGUG
rnacentral:rRNA from 1 species